GUCUACGGCCAUGCCACCCUGAACAAGCUCCAAUCCUGUCUGAUCUCGGAAGCUAAGCAGGGUCGGGCCUGGUUAGUACUUGGAUGGGAGACCACCUAGGAAGACCAGGUGUUGUAAGCG
rnacentral:rRNA from 1 species